GGCUGACCUUGGACCGCGGCGCUGCCGGGACACUGAAGACUGCAGGCUGCCCUCAGGAGCACUUCAGCACUAGAGGGCCUGCUGGGAGAGUCGGGUGUGUGUGUUCGAGAUCUCAGGAGAGAGAGCAGCUUUUGUCAGUGGGGCCAUGCAAAUGUCUCCUCGGUGUCUGUCAACAAAUAUGACCUUUGCCGAGCGUUCUCCAAGUGCCACCAAACCCAGCAUCAGCAUCGCCUGGGAACUUGUGUGAAAUGCACAUUCUCCAGCCCCACCCUAGAUUCUGAUUCACAAAUUCCAGAUGUUGGGCCGACAACCUGUUUUAAGUCCACCAGAUGAUUCUGAUGCACGCUCAAGUUUGAGGACCACUGGUUGCUGCUAUUUCUCAAUUUUAAAAAAUUAUAUGUAUAUAUAUAAGUUUUAUCUUUGUAUUUUAAUUCUAUAUUAUUAUAUAUGAUAUAUAAUACAGGUUACUGUUAAUAUAUUUAUUUAAAAAUAUAUAUGGCCGGGUGCGGUGGCUCACGCCUGUAAUCCCAGCACUUUGGGAGGCCGAGGCAGAUGGAUCGUGAGGUCAAGAGAUCGAGACCACGGUGAAACCCCGUCUCUACUAAAAAAAAAAAAUUAGCCAGGCGCGGUGGCGGGCACCUGUAGUCCCAGCUACUCGGGAGGCUGAGGCAGGAGAAUGGCGUGAACCUGGGAGGUGGAGCUUGCAGUGAGCUGAGAUUGCGCCACUGCACUCCAGCCUGGGUGACAGAGAGAGACUCCAUCUCAAAAAAAAAAAAAUUAUAUAUAUAUAUAUAUAUAUAUAUAUAUAUAUAUAUAUAUAUGACUUUGUAGUAAGUCCUCCUUUUUUUCCCCUUAUUUUCCUUCCUUUCUUCCUUCUUGCUUUGCUUUAGAAGCCCCAAACACAACCAUGAAAGUCCUUGGUCUCUUCCAGGUUGCACAGAUCCCCUCUAUUUUUAAAUAUCCUUACAGUUUUCCCUGGAUGUUGCCUGGGAGUCCAUCCUUAUAGAUAAUGUUACAUAAGGACCUGAACUUAUCUUUUUCCAGGUCACUGCCAGGUCCAGUGCUAUUAAACAAAGCAUCUUCCCUAUUGAUUCGAGGGCUCAUCUGUGUAUGUUUCAGGCAUUUGUGUGCCCAGGGGUCUGUUCCUGAGCUCUCCAGGCUGUGCCCCGGUCUGUCCCUUCAUUCACUCUCUACUUCUGUUUGUUACAUUUCAAUGCAUGUUGGUAUCUACUAGGCCAACUCCUCACAGCCACUCUAACCCCUUUUCGCUUUACUUUUUCAGACUUGACAGUGAUUUAUAGUUCUUUUCUUCUGUAUAAAUUUUGAAGUGAGUUUGUCUAAUUCCUUCAAAGGAAUCCAACUAGAUUGAUUAGGAUAAAAAUGUAUAGAUUAAGUUAGAACAAACUGACAUCCACCUUGUUAGCUUGCUCUAUUCAUGAGUAUGUUAUAUUCAUUCUUUUAUGAUCUUCAUGGUGUUUGUUUUCCUUUAAAGCAUUUAUUUCUAGACAUGCAUAUGUUUUCCUUUUUAAUUAAAAAAAUGUUCAAUUGCAA
ensembl:lncRNA novel transcript